ensembl:lncRNA
UAAAAAUCUGCCGUUGCGUUUAAUAUAUAACCGCGUGAUAUUUAUUUGCGCUCAACUCUACAGCUUCCGGCUGAACAAUGCGAGGGAACGAUCCAAAUAAAUGCUGCAAAUCAUGUUUAAAGUGCGGACUGCACUCUUCAGAGAGAGAGCAAAAGAGAUCAACUUGAACCUACAUCAACCCCGACUACAAUAUCACCGACAUUUCGAGUUAAAAACACGCAAAGUCGCGGGUAAAUGUGUCCAACGCGCCCGCCGCGAAGGGUGAUCGUUCCCCGGAUGUUGCUCCAUACACGCCGGGGAAUGCAGAUGUCGGUAGCCGAAGAGGUGGCACUCGGAGCCGGGCAGGGGCAGGACCCUCGACCCUGGGAGACCCUGCGGCGAGACGCGGGAGAAGCGGCGCAGGCAGGCGGCGAGCCUCGCUCUGACUGGCGGAGAGGGGGAGCGAGUCUAGACCGCGGCAGAGGAAGAAAGGACUGCCACUGGGGUCAGAGAGCAGCGACGAGUGCAUAGCCUCCGUACUAGCAUGGCGGAGCGAGAGUGCGUGCGUGCGUGCGUGUGUGUGGGGGGUUACUCCUCCCCUCCCUCAGAAGAGUCUGCCAUGAUCUGCGUUCACACGUGGAGAGGACAGACCCUCUUCUGCUGCUUAUUUUCGCGUCUUUCUGCAGUGUCUUUUGUUUUGGAGGUUACAUUUUAUAGCAUUGAUUUAAUCAAACCUAAGAGGACCUAAAGUACCUUGAGGAAGUGCAUUUUUUAGGUUACAUUUUAAAGGAGACACCAUUAUUUACUUCACACUGUGUGCAUAAGAGCACUGGGUCUUUGUGAUGUUUGCAAAGUUUUUCCAUGUAGGACUGAGUGAAAAGGGUCUGCGUUCAUUUCAUAGGGUAAGGUCAGGUAAAAUGGGCCACUUUUUGGUGAAUUACACAGCCAAAUUUUGCACACUGGUCUUUGUGUGAUAAGUCAGGUAUUUUCUAUCAUUGUAUGUUAUAAUAUGUGACCCCCCCCCCCACACACACACACACACAUACAAAAACAAGAGCUACUAUGAUAUCAGAAAUCCCAGCUACUGUGUUUCAUGGUAAAAUGAGACAGAAGAUCUACAACAAAAUUAUUAACAAAGAAUCAAACGCUCUUGUUGUUGAAUACAAUCAUUGCUGAUUUAAUUUUGUAAAAUGCCAUUAUAAGAAAUGCUUUAUGACUUAAUGUGUCAAAAUGUAUGUGAGUGAUAGGUUCAGUUCAGACUUACUGCGUGUGAAAAUAAGAACGCAGUAAGUAUAAUAUAUAACAAAUAUACCAAUAAAAAGCAACUUUACCUACUAAAACUCAUCUGAACCACGUAGUGUGUAUAGAUGUGUGUGUGUGUGUGUGUGUAAGAGAGAGCCAAAUUAGUGUAGAGCUCUAAAGAGCAGUUGCAUAUAGCAUUUCUCAUAAACAGCUGUAAAGAAGCAGGCAUAAUUUUGUUUUAAAUUGUAAUUUUAUGUGCAAUUGUGCUGUUUCAAAAACUGAUAACCAAAUAAACACAAGUGUUAUGUGAGUAUGUAUUUAUGGAUAAUGCAUUCAUACAGUAUACUGUACAUAUGACGUAUCCUAGCUUGAAAUUAGAUUAUUUUAAUUAAAGAGUUAUUUAAAAAGAAAGGAACCA